GAUUUUAAAAACUUCGAUCAUGUCUCCACGGAAACGACGAUAUGACAAAGAUGGUAUCUUCAAUAUUUUAAGUCUUUCAAUGUAUGAUCCUUGUCCAAGCAGUUCACAUUUUGAGAAACACAUCUAAUGAUAGAUCUAUAGCUUUUUAGAUGUUGAC